CUUUAAAGGACAAAUAGCCGUCCACUG
rnacentral:tRNA from 1 species